GCCUGCUCAAUCUUUCUUUUCAGUUCCUCCGACUCCUGAUACUCCGCUAGACAUUUCUCGCGUUCUAGCUGGACUUUGCUUUCAGCGUGUUUCACUACCUUGAGCAGGGCUGAACAUUUACGUUCCAAAGUCCUGACUUCAUGGUUAAGCUGUUGAUGGCGAAGUUGGAAUUCCUCCGCCGAUGAAGCCAGGUCUCUGAUACGUUUAGAACUCGUGCUCAGCUCCUGCUCAAGGACUUCCACCCGAGCUAGGGCUUUCUCUUUCUGAACAUUCACC
rnacentral:lncRNA from 1 species